AUUGAACGCUGGCGGCAGGCCUAACACAUGCAAGUCGAGCGAGCGGCGGACGGGUGAGUAAUGUAUGGGGACUGCCCGAUAGAGGGGGAUAACUACUGGAAACGGUGGCUAAUCCCGCAUACUAUCGGAUAACCCAUAUGGGAUUAGCUAGUAGGUGAGGUAAUGGCUCACCAAGGCAACGAUCCGUAGCUGGUUUGAGAGGACGACCAGCCACACGGGGACUGAGACACGGCCCAGACUCCUACGGAGGCAGCAGUGGGGAAUUUUGGACAAUGGGGGAAACCCUGAUCCAGCCAUCCCGCGUGUAUGAUGAAGGCCUUCGGGUUGUAAAGUACUUUUGGCAGAGAAGCGGUAUCUGCAGAAUAAGCACCGGCUAACUACGUGCCAGCAGCCGCGGUAAUAC
rnacentral:rRNA from 1 species